UAGGGAAUCUUCGGCAAUGGACGGAAGUCUGACCGAGCAACGCCGCGUGAGUGAAGAAGGUCUUCGGAUCGUAAAGCUCUGUUGUUAGAGAAGAACGUUGGUAGGAGCGGAAAAUCUACCAAGUGACGGUAACUAACCAGAAAGGGACGGCUAACUACGUGCCAGCAGCCGCGGUAAUACGUAGGUCCCGAGCGUUGUCCGGAUUUAUUGGGCGUAAAGCGAGCGCAGGCGGUUCUUUAAGUCUGAAGUUAAAGGCAGUGGCUUAACCAUUGUACGCUUUGGAAACUGGAGGACUUGAGUUCAGAAGGGGGGAGUGGAAUUCCAUGUGUAGCGGUGAAAUGCGUAGAUAUAUGGAGGAACACCGGUGGCGAAAGCGGCUCUCUGGUCUGAAUCUGACGCUGAGGCUCGAAAGCGUGGGGAGCAAACAGG
rnacentral:rRNA from 1 species